rnacentral:rRNA from 1 species
UACGGGGGGAGCAAGCGUUGUUCGGAUUUACUGGGCGUAAAGGGCGCGUAGGCGGCCACCGCAAGUCAAUUGUGAAAUCUCCGGGCUUAACUCGGAAAGGUCAACUGAUACUGCGGGGCUAGAGUGCGGAAGGGGCAACUGGAAUUCUCGGUGUAGCGGUGGAAUGCGUAGAUAUCGGGAGGAACACCAGUGGCGAAGGCGGUUGCCUGGGGCUUUGCUGACGCUGAGGCGCGAAAGCGUGGGGAGCGAUCCGG